rnacentral:rRNA from 1 species
GACGAACGCUGGCGGCGUGCCUAAUACAUGCAAGUAGAACGCUGAAGCGAGGAGCUUGCUCUUCUUGGAUGAGUUGCGCAAGGGUGAGUAAAGCGUGGGUAACCUGCCUUGUAGCGGGGGAGAACUCUUGGAAACGGUAGCUAUUACCGCAUAACAAUUGAGGACACCUGUCAUUUAUUUUAAAGAGGCAAUUGCUCCACUACGAGAUGGACCUGCGUUGUAUUAGCUAGUAGGUGAGGUAACGGCUGACCUAGGCGAGGAGACAUAGCCGACCUGCGAGGGUGGUCGGCCACACUGGGACGGAGAGACGGCCCAGACUCCUACGGGAGGCAGCAGUAGGGAAUCUUCGGAAAUGGGGGCAACCAUGACUGAGCAACGCCGGGUGAGUGAAGAAGGGUGUCGGAUCGGAAAGCUCUGUUGUAAGUCAAGAACGAGUGUGAGAGUCUAAUGUGCACACGGUGACGGUAGCUUACCAGAAAGCGACGGCUAACUACGUG